GGAGGGAUCGCAUAGUGGCCUAGUGCGCCGUCUUGGAAAGGCGGUAUACCGCAAGGUAUCGUGGGUUCAAAUCCCACUCCCUCCG
rnacentral:tRNA from 1 species